rnacentral:lncRNA from 1 species
UAUAAUAAAGAAAUUCUCUGUGAUUUUUUCCCCAUGAUGAUCAGAAUGAUUCUUUGAAGUAAUUAUGCUCUCCUCGCCAAAUUCUUUCCCUAGAUAAAGAAAAUCCGACGAAACAGUUCACACAGAAAUACCGCUUCUAACGCAAGAACUGAAAGAUCCAAAAGGCUUCCUCCUCAUCAAUGAUCACUGAUUUGAUGUAGAGAAGAACAAGAUAAUUCACAUGAGACUGCAAACAGCUCAAAAGGAUGAAAGAAUGCAGUUUUAAUAGUGCGAUGAUGCAACCCACCCCCUCCUUUUCUCCUUCUCUCAUUCACACGCAUGCAAACAAAGCAAGAGAAUCAUUAAAGUUCAAUGAAAAAUAUUUUCUGACCAUACUAGAGGACGUUUGAUGGUUCUGAAAUGACAGCAUCAAAUCAUAAAAAUACGAGAAAAAUAAAAUCAAAACAUACCUCAGGAGACUUGAGAAUGAGAGAUUGAGAUUGAGAGAGUUGAGAAUGAUAGGAAUUAGGAAGCACUGGAGGUGGAGGUGGAGG